rnacentral:rRNA from 1 species
GACGAACGCUGGCGGCGUGCCUAAUACAUGCAAGUAGAACGCACAGUUUAUACCGUAGCUUGCUACACCAUAGACUGUGAGUUGCGAACGGGUGAGUAACGCGUAGGUAACCUGCCUGGUAGCGGGGGGUAACUAUUGGAAACGAUAGCUAAUACCGCAUAAUAUUGAUUAUUGCAUGAUAAUUGAUUGAAAGAUGCUAUUGCAUCACUACCAGAUGGACCUGCGUUGUAUUAGCUAGUAGGUGAGGUAACGGCUCACCUAGGCGACGAUACAUAGCCGACCUGGGAGGGUGAUCGGCCACACUGGGACUGAGACACGGCCCAGACUCCUACGGGAGGCAGCAGUAGGGAAUCUUCGGCAAUGGACGAAAGUCUGACCGAGCAACGCCGCGUGAGUGAAGAAGGUUUUCGGAUCGUAAAGCUCUGUUGUAAGAGAAGAACGGGUGUGAGAGUGGAAAGUUCACACUGUGACGGUAUCUUACCAGAAAGGGACGGCUAACUACGUG